rnacentral:rRNA from 1 species
AUACCGGCUGCUCGAGUGAUGGCCACUAUUACUGGGUUUAAAGCGUCCGUAGCUUGACUGUUAGGUCUCUUGGGAAAUCUUUUGGCUUAACCAAAAGGCGUCUAAGAGAUACCGGCAUUCUUGGAACUGGGAGAGGAAAGCCGUACUUCGGGGGUAGGAGUGAAAUCUUGGAGUCCUCGAGGGACGACCUAGGGCGAAGGGAGCUUGCCAGAACGGCUUCGACGGUGGGGGACGAACGCUAGGGGAGCAAACGGGAUUAGAUACCCCGGUAGUCCCAGCCGUAAACAAUGUGCGUUAGGUGUGUCGGUUACCACGCGUAACUGAUGCGCCGAAGAGAAAUCGUGAAACGCACCACCUGGGAAGUACGGUCGCAAGGCUGAAACUUAAAUGAAUUGGCGGGG